rnacentral:rRNA from 1 species
UACGUAGGGUGCGAGCGUUAAUCGGAAUUACUGGGCGUAAAGCGUGCGCAGGCGGUCUGUUAAGACCGAUGUGAAAUCCCCGGGCUUAACCUGGGAAUGGCAUUCGGGACUGCAAGGCUGGAGUGCGGCAGAGGAGACUGGAAUUCCUGGUGUAGCAGUGAAAUGCGUAGAUAUCAGGAGGAACACCGAUGGCGAAGGCAGGUCUCUGGGCUGACACUGACGCUAAUGCACGAAAGCGUGGGGAGCAAACAGG